rnacentral:rRNA from 1 species
UACGAAGGGGGCUAGCGUUGCUCGGAAUCACUGGGCGUAAAGCGCACGUAGGCGGAUUGCUAAGUCAGGGGUGAAAUCCUGGAACUCAACUCCAGAACUGCCCUUGAUACUGGCGACCUCGAGUCCGGAAGAGGUGAGUGGAACUGCGAGUGUAGAGGUGAAAUUCGUAGAUAUUCGCAAGAACACCAGUGGCGAAGGCGGCUCACUGGCCCGAUACUGACGCUGAGGCACGAAAGCUAGGGUAG